UAGUCUGGUUCUUUGAAUUUAACGUUUUCCAAUAAAUACACUACGUUGGGGAAUAUGACCGAAAUUGUGUUUGAUUCAAGGCCAAGUGCCAGAGUUCACGCAUUAUAAUACCUGUGGCAGUUUUUUUAUUUAAUGACUGGUUUAUCAUUCCAAUAAGGAUCUAAAAACUCCAGAGUGUGCCUAAUUUUACACCUUGGAAGAAGCAGAGGUUGUUCAGAUGAUACAGACAUACAAGCCACUUUCCAACGCAUAAGGAGGAAGAAGAGCACUCGGUCCCGGAUACAAUACAUUCAUGCUCGAUAAAGAAAAAAACAAUGAUAAAAUGCCCAAUUUUAAUGGUGAAAUGCUAUUCCAUACCACCUAAUUAAAAUUUCAAUCCAAAAUAAUGCUGUUUAAUACAUUCAUCUGAUUAUCGUGCCGAUUUUCUUUCCUUUAUUGUGCUUGCUUUAUAAGCUUUAAGGUAAUUAUGUUGAACAUGCAAAGUGUCUUUCUAGUCAUAGCUCACCUUAGGCAUUUAUACAAACGCUGUUACUACAAAAUUACAAAUAUUAAUUACAAUAAACAUGAGGCCAAUAUAAUCCAACGAUCCACAUAUGUUCACAGCUAACGGAACUGACCAUCUUCUCACAAUUAAUAACCAACAUUUGCCUUGCUGUGUUUGUAUCGAAGGUUGACUGUAAUUCAAUCUGUUUCAUGUUCCUGGCAACACUAAUGACAAACAUGAGCAUUUUGUUUCUGUUAUAUCCAGGGUUAUCGACUCGGGGAUGAUGCCAAUCCUGUAGCCCAUCGCUUAGCCGAUUAUGAGGGGUAGGAGUAGGAUUGGCAAACGGAUUGAACAUCACAAGAUGCUGGAGAGAAGAUUGUGGCAGACAAGAGGAGACUUGACCCAGAUUUAGACGGAAUUGGAAAAAAAUGUGACAAAUGCGAGGAGUUUACGAUGAUUGCCUCGUGUCCUGUGCUUAUCGCUGACAAGGGACCUAAAAGAGGUGGUUACUGUCAAGGCCCAAGCUGAUGUAAAACAGGCCGAGUUUAGCGCACAGGCUUCUGCAAAUCACUCCGAAGUUCAGUCAUUCCGUCUAGUCUUGCGGCCUACAUGAUAAUCGUUUACAAGGGGUCUCCUGUGCCUGGAUGACGGACCGUCGGCGGGGUUUAACCCGGCUGGAUAAGGCCAGGGGAUUUACACGGUCGAGGGCCUAGCAUUUCCGAUCAGGGAGAUUGAAACUAGCGAGGACUCUCAAAGAGUCAAGAAAUCGAGAUGGACGGGUGUGCGCUCAGGGAUAACUCAAAAUAUCAUGCACUUGGAGGAAACGCUGGAAAGGAACACGCUUCACAGCCCCACGAUCUGUUCCUUGCAUCACUUCAUUGGUUUCAUCAUUGGAGACUCGGACGCCUGAGAGCUGCUUCAGUUGAGGAAUAUUGCCAUCACUGCAGCUGUGAUGCAGGUCUCCAAAGGCUCGCUAGUAAUUGCACGGAUACAGGCCACCGCGACAGAAUUAUUUUCUCAAGCAGGUGGAAGCAUUAAGUGAAGCCAGUUGAAACCCAGCGCACUCUUGACUCUGCAGUAGUUCACGCAACCUUGACUUCUGUCUCCUCCCUGUAAAAUGCUAAUUGUGAUCAUCGACCUACAGUCGGCGCCUCGAGCGAGACUUGCCUUUAUUGGCAUAAUAAAUCACUCCACUCUCCUGGGAACCAGACUACACGGUCGCUUGCUUCAGACGGUAACGUCAACAUCACAGGUCAAAGCAGAGGCAUACGGGGGCUUAUAAAAUGGUGAACCGAAAAGGUUAAAAAUCGUUGAAUGAAAGCAGAGGUUCACUUCUGCCUGUUUUGAGGCUUUCUGAGACUGAUUCAUUCAUGCUCAUCAGACCACCUGUAUUUUUAGAAAUGUCUUUCACCAACUGAAGCCCGUGUGAGGUUUAAAUGUCAUUUAAAACAAGUGCUUUAUGUGCUCUUGCUCAAUGGUUUAUAGAGUCCUGGUCCAUACUCCGUCCAUGAAUACAAAAUGUCCCUGGAAAGCUGCUUUCAGAGACUGGAAACAAGGCCACGUAACAGGCGUAAGUUUUACCCUGCUAUCCCUGAACGUAUCAGUGAAGGCAUCAGGUCCCCUUAGGGCCUUCAUAGCCAAUUAAAAACAGAUCCCGACUUCCAGUCGUCUUGAGGUGGUCUCAUCUCAACCUUCCAUCCUAAUUAAUGCCUCUGGUCAAGCAGACAAUCCUCGUUUGUUUUCCUUUGAUCGUCCUUUUCAUUUCCAAAGGAUGUAAAUCGUUGGCCGGGAGGGGAGUGCAUGUGAUUGAAAGAUGUGAAGCGCCUUCUGUCUGUAAUUACUCUUUUAAUGAUGAAUUCCCACAGGAAGCAGAAGUAAACAAUUACCAAAAGGUACACUUCGAUUGUCUGAUUCUGUGUUCAAUUUAUGUCCCUGAUCUUAUCCAGUCAACCAAAUACAUGUACAUGUCUCCUUAUGUAAGGGUGCUCAUCAAUAUUUAUUUCAAGAAAAAGCCACAUUACUAAGCGAGACUCGGAAAUCAGUGAGAAAGCAGGAGAAACUAUUUUGAUCAUCUACAGGGUAUGUAUUCUGAAGUCAAAACAAACGUAUUUUAAUCAUCUCUGAGACAUGUGGAUUACAAUUUUCAUCAAUACUCAAAUGUGAAAAUUUUUACAAAUUCCGCAAGGGGUUAGCCUUGCAAAAAAUGA